rnacentral:misc_RNA from 1 species
AAAAAUAUAAAAUGUCUCCACAACCAACUACAUCAGUAGAAUGCAAACCAUCUAAAUUCCUCAUAAACCGACCACCAAUGCUUGCUAUCGCAGCCUCAGCCACACAUCACUGUUGUUGCUGAUAGUUUCCAUAUCCAGGAUAAGCUCCAUAUGCAUACAUAUUAGGAUCUUGAGGAGGUUGGGCAUAAGCAUAUGCUUCAUUCGUUUGGCCAUAACCAUAAUAG